GUGUCAGCAGCCGCGGUAAGACGUAGGAUGCAAGCGUUGUCCGGAUUUAUUGGGCGUAAAGAGUUCGCAGGCGGUUAUUCAAGUCUAAUGUGAAAUAAUAGGGCUUAACCCUAUACCCGCAUUGGUUACUGGGUAACUUGAGCAAGGUAGGGGUCAGAAGAAUUCCUGGUGUAGCGGUGAAAUGCGUAGAUAUCAGGAGGAACACCGGUGGCGAAAGCGUCUGACUGGGCCUUUGCUGACGCUGAGGAACGAGAGCUAGGGGAGCGAAAGGGAUUAGAUACCCCUGUAGUCC
rnacentral:rRNA from 1 species